rnacentral:misc_RNA from 1 species
UCUGCGCCCCGGCCUGAACGGAGCUCUUUUUAUUUUUUUUUUGGAAAAAUAAAAAAGCGGGAGUGGAGGACGGAUAAAGGC